GCUCGGAGCAGCACAGGUGAACCGGUCGUACAAAACAACACAAGCAGGAAAUGUCAAGAUGCUGAUUCCUCAUGUAUACAUGUGGUCCUGACAGACAUGGGACCAAGUCACACAUGUGUAAGUCUCAAGUCUUAACCUUGAAGUCACAAGCAGACCUUUUUGGCUCCGGGGCGAACCAUAACUCUUACCUCAUUACCAUGAAAGGUGCGCUCGCUCAGCGAUUUUGCCCAGGUCACAUCUGGCACCACCCAGAAUAGAUGAAGAGAGGGGGAGAAGGCAGUCCACUUUGAACUUCAAAGCAGGCGGUAAAAGUUUGCUUGGAGCUAGGUGCAGCCAGCCAGGAGGAGAUGUUCCAGCAUGUACCUUGACAUAGCGGCUCUGUAAUUCACCACCACAGUUUUCAUGUAUAAUUUACCACCGCAAGAAAUUCCUCUUUCAUGUAUUAUUAAACGGAAUAACCCGUCAUUUGGGCUCAGGCACAGUUUUCACUGUGCAAUUACGU